GACGUAGGUGGCGAACGUUAUCCGGAAUUAUUGGGCGUAAAGGGUGCGUAGGUGGUCUGACAAGUUAUUAGUGGGAAAUCGAGGCUCAACCUCGUGGAAGCUAGUAAUACUGUCAGGCUCGAGUGCAGGAGAGGUUAACGGAACUCCCGGUGGAGCGGUAAAAUGCAUAGAUAUCGGGAAGAACACCAAUAACGGCGAAGGCAGUUAACUAUUCUGUUACUGACAUUGAGGCACGAAAGCGUGGGGAGCAAAACGG
rnacentral:rRNA from 1 species